CCAAUCCAAUUGGGUCAAGUUCGAUUAAUUGGGUCGAGCCUAAUCAACUCAGAUCGAACCCAAUCCAAUUAGGUCAAACCUUAAUGUAGCCCAAAUUGAAUUUUAUUCAAUUUGGCUUAACCUAAGCUCAAUGUUUCAAUCAAUUGAGUUCGUUAACAAUCUAUUUCUAAUUAAUCCUUCAAUAAUUCAAUAAUUAUUUUACUGUAACUUUUGCUUAGGAUAAUUUGUCAAUCGAAUUGGCUGAUGUACCUAUGGACGAUUCUUAAUCGUCGAUCAGCCAUUUGAUCAACCUACAAAAUUCUGUGCAUGUGACCCCAUAGGUUCAAACCUAAGACGGUAGCACAAGAACGACUUUC
rnacentral:lncRNA from 1 species